rnacentral:rRNA from 1 species
GACGAACGCUGGCGGCGUGCUUAACACAUGCAAGUCGAACGGAAAGGCCCUGCUUUUGUGGGGUGCUCGAGUGGCGAACGGGUGAGUAACACGUGAGUAACCUGCCCUUGACUUUGGGAUAACUUCAGGAAACUGGGGCUAAUACCGGAUAGGAGCUCCUGCUGCAUGGUGGGGGUUGGAAAGUUUCGGCGGUUGGGGAUGGGCUCGCGGCUUAUCAGCUUGUUGGUGGGGUAGUGGCUUACCAAGGCUUUGACGGGUAGCCGGCCUGAGAGGGUGACCGGCCACAUUGGGACGGAGAUACGGCCCAGACUCCUACGGGAGGCAGCAGUGGGGAAUAUUGCACAAUGGGCGGAAGCCUGAUGCAGCAACGCCGCGUGCGGGAUGACGGCCUUCGGGUUGGAAACCGCUUUCGCCUGUGACGAAGCGUGAGUGACGGUAAUGGGUAAAGAAGCACCGGCUAACUACGUG